rnacentral:lncRNA from 1 species
CGCGGCCCGACGACGCCCCGCUCCGCCGACAUGCGCGCGCUGCCCCUGCUGAGCCUCCUGGCGCUGCUCGCGCUCUGCCUUUGCCGGACGGCGGACUCUGCUCGCCCCGAGAGCGCCCACAACGCGCCCAGCGCGGAAGCUUUUGUUUCCAAGCGCGCCAGCGCGGAACUAGUGAAGAGGCACAGGAGGAGCUAUGACAGGUAAGGGCGGCUGGUAGUGGCCCGACUGGAGAGCCAUGAGGUGCUGCUGCGGGUG